rnacentral:lncRNA from 1 species
UAAUAGGCGUAAGACGUAAGCUAAGAUACGCUGAAAGUCCGGUUUUAUAUCGGUAUCGAAAGCCCCGGUUCCAUUCUUGGAUUUAGUAGUAGAAAGAAUGGUAGGUUGUGCUUGGACUUACUAGUUCAAUUAUGAUAACUUACUAGUGCUAUUAUGAGAAGUAGUAUUCAUAUCUUUUUGAUUAUAAGGUUGUUUCUGCGUUCAACUCUGAUUAGCAGGGGAAUAAGAUUAGGAUUCCUUAGUGGCAGGCGGGUCUUAUUGGAUAAGUAGUCAAUCCCUAGUUCCUUGUUUCGGUCCAAUAGAUAGUAGCGAUAGCCUUGUUAGCAUCAACUCGAUUCUUUUAGUGAAUAGGGAAAGCCCUAGUUCCUUGUUGUUGUCUUGUAGGGUAGGGCCCCAGUCUCGUAUUCCCCAGUUCCACUCUUUAUUACAUAAGUGAAAGUACGAAAAGCACUGGUAGAUCAAAAGCAAAAGGAAAAAAGUGAUUUCAUUAUCCAUCCUGCCUGUCCUAGGUAUAGCAACAGUCAAAAAUCCUCUGUGCUAAGGGAGUAGUCAAACCCAUGUGUUCAGCAAGUAGUAAAUAGAGAAGUAGUUGCUAAGUUCACUUGUCUCGUUGCUUGGCCCUCGGAGUUGUUUUACGAUCAAUUCAGCUGUAUAUUGUAAGUUCUUCCAUCGGGAUCUUUAAGGCUAACUCAAUUUAUCGAUCACGGACUAUCUUGCCACAACAAGAGAGCCUCGUUAUUGAAGCAUUCUUCUGCCAAAGCAAAGGAGUAGUGGAUAAUGGCUUUUCCGGUGUAAGGAAGACUAUGCCGAUCCCGGCUUUCUUCGGAUCGGACCGCUUUUCUCCGUUCGGGCUCAUGAGGACAGGGGGUUUCAUCAGAUAUGCUUUGAUGCUGUCGAAAGGAAAGCAUUCUGGCAACCCGAGGAGUCCUUUCCCUAUUAGAGUAGAGAAUGGGAUGACCCCUAAGGAUAUAAACCAUAGGAUAUAGGCGAGUCCCCCAUUUAGGCUUGGAUUUUCCAC